CGUAUAACAGAAGCUUAGUGAAAAGAAAGUACUUUGGCGGCAAACAUAUAUUCUGUAUAAUCCAUGGCAGAAAAUAUAUUUUGAGCAUGGUCCCACCCAUGCCAGCAUCGAAGGCAGAUGUUAGAUGAUGAUGAUAAUGAAUCCAAGGACUGGCCAUGUGAAAAUAUUACCUUGCGUGGAAACAGGUAAAGGUUGGUGACAAGAAGGGCAUCCAGUUGUAGAAAAUCUGCCUCAAUAAACUUUGUCCUAUCCAGGCAAGCAUGGAAAAGUGGAUGUUAAAACAAUGAUGAUGAAAAAUCAGUUGUCGGCCAGCCACGAGACUUGAACUCACAUCCCUGUGAUUACGCAUCAAG